rnacentral:rRNA from 1 species
AUUGAACGCUGGCGGCAUGCUUUACACAUGCAAGUCGAACGGCAGCUCGGGGGCAACCCUGGUGGCGAGUGGCGGACGGGUGAGUAAUGCAUCGGAACGUGCCCUGAAGUGGGGGAUAACGCAGCGAAAGCUACGCUAAUACCGCAUAUUCUGUGAGCAGGAAAGCAGGGGAUCGCAAGACCUUGCGCUUUGGGAGCGGCCGAUGUCGGAUUAGCUAGUUGGUGGGGUAAAGGCCUACCAAGGCGACGAUCCGUAGCGGGUCUGAGAGGAUGAUCCGCCACACUGGGACUGAGACACGGCCCAGACUCCUACGGGAGGCAGCAGUGGGGAAUUUUUGGGACAAUGGGGGAAACCCUGAUCCAGCCAUGCCGCGUGUGUGAAGAAGGCCUUCGGGUUGUAAAGGUACACUUUAAGUCGGGGAGGGAAGGGACCGUUGAGGAGUAAUAACCC